GUAAUAUCAAGUCACCGGGAGGCCGUUUGAAGGGUGAACUAAAACUGGAACAUCUUCCUGCAUUCCUGUCUCCGACCCUUUACCUCCCAGCUGCAUGGGACGGCUACAGCAUCUCCACUCUGCACCUCCGUCUCAGUCAGUUCCUGCAGCUGAUGUUGCAUUGUCAAAGAGAUAAAACACAUCUGCUGCUAAAAUAGCUCGUUAGCAUUAGCAUUGUCUCAAUCCAGCCACGGGCCAUCCUGCCCGCAGCAACGCUCACGUUGGCAUCGUUGAUUGCAGGAUGUCCAGUCGGAGCCCCCUCUCUGAGCUGUCGAGUGGACGGCGCUGCUGUUUAAAACCUCUCUUCGUCAUGUGGUCACAGAUUAUCAUUCAUUGUGUAAUUUCCAUCUGCAGUCACUGAUGUGGCUUAGUAGUCAUUUUACAUGCAUCAGUGGUGUGUUCUGCUCCGCCUCAGUGAGAGUCUGUAAUAAGAGUAAUAAUGUGUCCAAUACAUCAAAUCUGUCUUGUGUCCUAUGGAAGAUUUGAUCUGGCCAAAUUUAGAGCCAGGUCACCUCAUCCCCAUCCAUGCUCCAUUUCCAGUAGAGGUCACUCUGUACAAUAAGCAUCCAUUUGCAAGCUGUGUCAGUUAAUGAUGGAUUACUUUCCCCAGGAAUUAAAUCCCUACACAAAUAAAAUAUAAAGACAUGUGGUGCAGAGAGAGAAAGAGAGAGAGAGAGAGAGAGAGAGAGAGAGCAUAGUGCGAUGCGAUCGUUACCGUUAAACAAAUGGCUCAUGGAAAUUAAUCAUAAUGUUAACUGAGCAGUUGCCGUGUUCCCGUGUUCCUCUCACACAGAUGCCUGCUGUUCACCAGAAUGACUUGAGCUCUCACUCAUUCUCACUUCCUGCUGCUCACAGAUGGGCGACAAAUUAAAGGAAAAUCAAUUCAAUGCCAUGUGGCGAAUGCAGAUGCAUCCACGUGUGGCCUAAAAGAGCCCUGCGAUUCUCCCUCGCUCCGUUCCUAGUGGUGGGGUCAGGGGUCCCGUCCUCCCCACUGGAGCCGGUCGGAGCGGCGAAUGGCAGCGCGGCGCUGCUAGUGGCCCCCAGCACAAACAGAGAACGGGGAGAGAGGGUGGCGGAGGAGCGCGGGGAGGGGUGUGAUGAGAAACAGAAAUAAAGAGGGACGAGUGAAGGAGGAAGAGGAAUGGGAAGGACAAACCCUAAAGGUCAAAGAUGGAGAGGGAAGCGGCAUCCUGAAGCUCUCCCAUGUGCGCUUUCAUACUGUCUGCUGUUUACCACAGGUAGCGUGCUUGUGCCUUCCACGUGUGCGCCCCCGAUGCCGUCGCCUCGGAUAUGAAACAAAUGCGGAGCAUCUUGGGCGGCGUGACGGCAUUACUCAACGCGCACAGUGCUGCGUGCCUGUCAGCAUGUAACCGCUCCGACGGGCUUUGGCUGCGAUUCACCGGCUGCCUCGCGCUCCGGUAUGCUGAGCAAAUCAUUUCCCCAGGGCCAGUCAUUAGCAUCAUCCGAAGUUGCCACAUCCAGCAUCGCUUCCCCGACGUGCCAAUCUAAAAGGACACUAUCGCUGUGACAAUCUCGCCACAUACAGUAGCAGGGGGGAUCAAUCAAUUGCGGUGGACGUAGGAGAGACUCCGCACUGGGCAGUGGAGCAGGUGCUGCGAGAAGUCAGGCAACGAUGCUAGAAGCUGAAGAAUUCCAAGCAGUUUGACAAAUAGACAGAACAAGG